UUUUUUUUUUUGGGGGGGGUGGAGACAGGAACUUUAUUUUAAAGAAAUGUGUUUGAAUUCAACAUGACUGUAUUGUAUUAUGAUGGAAUUUAAAAGUGUUCAAACGAAUGAGAUAACGAAUGAGUAAGUUAAUGUGAGAAGAAGAUAACAAAAUGAAGACAUGAAGAGAGAGAGAGAGAGAGAGAGAGAGAGAGAGAGAGAGAGAGAGAGAGAGAGAGAGAGAGAGAGAGAGAGAGAGAGAGAGAGAGAGAGAGAAAGAGAGAGAGAGAGAGAGAGAGAGAGAGAGAGAGAGAGAGAGAGAGAGAGAGAGAGAGAGAGAGAGAGAGAGAGAGAGAGAGAGAGAGAGAGAGAGAGAAACGUUAAUGAAGUCCUGAAUAAAGCAACAGAUAGAAUAAAGCGAAAUAACUAAUUAUAAGACGAAUAAAACAAAACUUAAAAGUAACACAGUUGGUACAAUUCGUCGUUUGUUUUGGGUUUUGGAAGAUAUAAAUUAGUCAAUGGUUCGCAUUAAAGUUAUUAUCUAAGUUAUUAAUAACGCGGGCAACCUGAGACAGAGAAAUGAGAGUUAUGACUAAUAUAUCGCGUGUAGAUUAAUACGACAAAAAUAGCAAAUAAAAUGCAUAUGUGGAUUAAGCAGGAACAAUAACAUCUGUGUACGUAUUAUGUAUGUAGAACAUAUUAGUAUGUAAAUGUGCGGGGUUGUCCUCAGUCAAAAUAAUAUAAAAAAGUAAAGAUGACACAUGAACUUUCUUAGUAGUGUUGCAAUAGACAAAAAAUAAAGAAAAAAGAAUUAAGAAAGUGGGAAAUAUAAACGAUAUGGUAAAAAGACGGGGGGAAUAAAGAAAAGAGAAAAAAAUAAACACUACGAAAGAUUCUGUAUGUGUAGUAGAAUGAAUUGUAUGAAUGGAAGUAUGCGACGAAAAAUACGAAAAAUAGGAUUAAUAAAGGUAUGGCAAAUACGUAUAUAGAGUUAUAGAAUCAUUAACGUCACCAGUUACAUUAAUAGUGAGAUAGUGGAAUAUGAAAAGUUUCUAAUAAGAUAUUUCAUUAUCCCGUUUAUUAUACGAAAGACGGAAGGAACACACGAUAUACAAGAAGUAUUUUUCUCUUGUAUAACGUAUAAAUGUAUGAAUGACAACUUAGAUGCAGUAUUAAAAAAAAAAAAAAAAAAAAAAAA